rnacentral:rRNA from 1 species
UACGUAGGGUGCGAGCGUUAAUCGGAAUUACUGGGCGUAAAGCGUGCGCAGGCGGUUAUGUAAGACAGAGGUGAAAUCCCCGGGCUCAACCUGGGAACUGCCUUUGUGACUGCAUGACUAGAGUACGGCAGAGGGGGAUGGGAUUCCGCGUGUAGCAGUGAAAAGCGUAGAUAUGCGGAGGAACACCGAUGGCGAAGGCAAUCCCCUGGGCCCGUACUGACGCUCAUGCACGAAAGCGUGGGGAGCAAACAGG